CCUACGGGUGGCAGCAGUGGGGAAUAUUGCACAAUGGGCGCAAGCCUGAUGCAGCCAUGCCGCGUGUGUGAAGAAGGCCUUCGGGUUGUAAAGCACUUUCAGCGGGGAGGAAGGCGGUGAGGUUAAUAACCUCAUCGAUUGACGUUACCCGCAGAAGAAGCACCGGCUAACUCCGUGCCAGCAGCCGCGGUAAUACGGAGGGUGCAAGCGUUAAUCGGAAUUACUGGGCGUAAAGCGCACGCAGGCGGUCUGUCAAGUCGGAUGUGAAAUCCCCGGGCUCAACCUGGGAACUGCAUUCGAAACUGGCAGGCUAGAGUCUUGUAGAGGGGGGUAGAAUUCCAGGUGUAGCGGUGAAAUGCGUAGAGAUCUGGAGGAAUACCGGUGGCGAAGGCGGCCCCCUGGACAAAGACUGACGCUCAGGUGCGAAAGCGUGGGGAGCAAACAGGAUUAGAGACCGUGUAGUC
rnacentral:rRNA from 1 species